rnacentral:sRNA from 1 species
UUAACUAUCUGCAACAUCUGUCACCAUAUUGAUCACAAAGGUUGAUGUGGCUGCCAACCUGGCUGGCUAUGCGGGUGUACCCUUCCUCCCUCACUGCCCCAUGUACAUCCUUCCCAAAGCUCUGUGCUUGGUUGAAGAGAACUACCUUCCCUGAUAAAAUGGGUAAGUGACACAAGUUUUAUAGCAGGCUUCAGCUUUAAAUUGAAAAUCGCUUAAUUAU